rnacentral:rRNA from 1 species
GAAGGCCUGAGGGUUGUAAAGCACUUUCAAUUGUGAAGAAAAGUUAAUAGUUAAUAACUAUUAGCCUUGACGUUAACUUUAGAAGAAGCACCGGCUAACUCCGUGCCAGCAGCCGCGGUAAUACGGAGGGUGCAAGCGUUAAUCGGAAUUACUGGGCGUAAAGCGUGCGUAGGUGGUUUGUUAAGUCAGAUGUGAAAGCCCCGGGCUCAACCUGGGAACUGCAUUUGAAACUGGCAAACUAGAGUAUAGGAGAGGAAAGUGGAAUUUCUGGUGUAGCGGUGAAAUGCGUAGAUAUCAGAAGGAACAUCAAUGGCGAAGGCAGCUUUCUGGACUAAUACUGACACUGAGGUACGAAAGCGUGGGUAGCAAACAGGAUUAGAUACCCUGGUAGUCCACGCCGUAAACGAUGAUAACUAGCCGUUGGGAGGAUUUACCUCUUAGUGGCGAAGCUNACGCGUUAAGUUAUCCGNCUGGGGAGUACGGCCGCAAGGCUAAAACUCAAAGGAAUUGACGGGGACCCGCACAAGCGGUGGAGCAUGUGGUUUAAUUCGAUGCAACGCGAAGAACCUUACCUGGUCUUGACAUACAGAGAACUUUCCAGANAUGGAUUGGUNCCUUCGGGAACUCUGAUACAGGUGCUGNAUGGCUGUCGUCAGCUCGUGUCGNGAGAUGUUGGGUUAAGUCCCGUAACGAGCGCAACCCUUAUCCUUAUUUGC